UGGGGCGUAGCCAAGCUGGUAAGGCAUCAGACUUUGGAUCUGACAUCCGGAGGUUCGAAUCCUCCCGCCCCAGCCA
rnacentral:tRNA from 2 species